rnacentral:piRNA from 1 species
UUGCAAAAGUGAGCACACUGU